rnacentral:rRNA from 1 species
GGCUCAGGAUUAACGCUAGCGGCAGGCAUAAUACAUGCAAGUUGAACGAGUAUUAGUUUUAGCAAUAGAACUAGUUUAGUGGCGCACGGGUGCGUAACGCGUAUGCAACCUACCUUAAACAGGGGAAUAGCCUCUCGAAAGAGAGAUUAAUACCGCAUAACAUAUAUUUAGAGCAUUCUAGAUAUAUCAAACCUACGGGGGUUUAAGAUGGGCAUGCGUGACAUUAGCUAGUUGGUGAGGUAACGGCUCACCAAGGCAACGAUGUCUAGGGGGUCUGAGAGGAUGUCCCCCCACACUGGUACUGAGACACGGACCAGACUCCUACGGGAGGCAGCAGUAGGGAAUAUUGGUCAAUGGAGGCAACUCUGAACCAGCCAUGCCGCGUGCAGGACUAAGGCCCUAUGGGUCGUAAACUGCUUUUGAAUGGGAAGAAAUGUAUCUACGUGUAGAUAUUUGACGGUACCAUUAGAAUAAGGAUCGGCUAACUUCGUG